ensembl:lncRNA
UGGAGUGUAUGGAAUGUUGAAGUGUAAGGAAUACUGAAGUGUAAGGAAUGUUGGAGUGUAUGGAAUGUUGGAGUGUAAGGAAUGUUUGGAGUGUAAGGAAUGUUGAAGUGUAAGGAAUGUUGGAGUGUAAGGAAUGUUGGAGUGUAAGGAAUACUGAAGUGUAAGGAAUGUUGGAGUGUAAGGAAUACUGUAGUGUAAGGAAUGUUGAAGUGUAAGGAAUGUUGGAGUGUAAGGAAUACUGUAGUGUAAGGAAUGUUGAAGUGUAAGGAAUGUUGAAGUGUAAGGAAUACUGAAGUGUAAGGAAUACUGAUGUGUAAGGAAUACUGAAGUGUAAGGAAUGUUGGAGUGUAAGGAAUACUGUAGUGUAAGGAAUGUUGAAGUGUAAGGAAUGUUGGAGUGUAAGGAAUGUUGGAGUGUAAGGAAUGUUGGGUUGUAUGGAAUGUUGGAGUGUAUGGAAUGUUGAAGUGUAAGGAAUGUUGGAGUGUAAGGAAUGUUGAAGUGUAAGGAAUGUUGGAGUGUAAGGAAUGUUGGAGUGUAAGGAAUGUUGAAGUGUAAGGAAUACUGUAGUGUAAGGAAUGUUGAAGUGUAAGGAAUGUUGGAGUG